CCAGGCGAGAGGAGGAACCUGAGCUCAGAAGUGACUGCUUUCUGAAAAGACUCACAAAUUCUACCCAACUUUUGUUAGAUAUCUCUAUGUCCGAGCUUUAUGGAGUGAUGGUUCAAGACUGGUUCAUCAGGACCGCUGAAAAUGCCAUUACUGUUUCUAAAAUUGAGUAACACUGUUUACAUCAAUACUGAAUAGCAUUUCCAUGGAGGAUCCCACACCUAGAUGGGUAACAUCAGUCAACGCUCUUCCACCGGUUGCUGGGAUAUUGGGUCAGCCAGCCCUGGUUCCCUUCAGAUCACGUGAGCAUGGAACAGUCUGACCCACCUGGGUUGCAAAAAUAACAUCCAGUAAUGAAAUGAAAACAAGCUGAAUGGCUGCAUUGAGCGGAGGAGGGCAGAGGUAGUCUCAGACAGCUGGAGCAUGUCUGGGCCAGUGUCUCACUGCUUUUCUCCCUGCUAGUUCAGUGCCACUGCAGGAAUACAGACAAUGCUGGCUACGGCUGCUUCAUAUUUGAUUUCCACACUUAAAUUCUGCUUGUUAAGUAAAACCCCAUUGUCAGGCUGGCAGGCAGCCACGCUCCCUCCCCAGCCUUGCCUCCUAGCUUCUCUGGUUGGGUGCUCAGAGCCAUCUAGCAAAGACCAGGUCUCGCUGUUCUGGUGCUGCUUGUAGCAUCACAACAAAACCUUUGGGCCCUCAUCAAUCUGUGUCUGAGGGCGGGCAGAAGCCCUGCAGGAAAGGAACGGGGUUUGAAAUGGCCUCAGCUGGGUGCUGGGUGAGCUGUAGGCUGUGCUGGGAGAGCUGGUGGCUGGGCACAGCUCUGGGAUUACUGCUGGAUAGCCUGUGAGGAGUGGAGCUCCUGGGCUCCAUGGGACCAUUAGGUCAGGGUGGAGCAUCCCGCAGUUGUAGGAUUUGCUGGCAGGGUCCGUGGGUGGUGACAGCGCAGGGCAGGCAGAGAAGCCCUGCAGAUUGGAAGCAGAGCAGUGGCUGUGCUCGUAACAAAGGAUCGCUUCAUACCCUCUGGGAAAUACCAGGCAGGGCAUGAAAAUUAUGAAUAAUAUUAAUAAAGCUGGGAGGAUU
ensembl:lncRNA